GGGGCCGCCAGAGAGCGGCGGGAGCAGCGCCCUUGUGAGGGGACGGGAGGAGCAGCCCGGGUUUGGCGCCAAUUCCGCCCGGUGCCAAAGUGGGGAAAAUCCCUCAAUCCCCUCACACCGCGCCUGAGAGCCUGAGGCACGGCUGGGGCUGGUCUUCCCCUCGUGUCACAGCUCCGGCAGCCACGCGCUUCAUCCCCAGAGGCCCAGGAGUACUCUCGGUUUCCAUCCAGUCAAUGCAAAAAGCUAAAAGCAGCGAAAACAAGCCAUAAUAUUGGUCUUCUUCCAUCAAGUCACCUCAAAACAAAAUAAAGGUCAUAUUCAAGAAACUCAGACUCUAAGGAGAUGUCAUCAGGGCCAUUCAAGCAUGUCCUGGGAAGAAGAAACCACUUGGAAUUAAUGCAACUCUCUGAGAAGACAGCCCUUUAAAAAAAAACAAGCCAAACCAACCUACAAAAAACAGUAAGAAAGAGGCUUUCAUAGAAAUGUGGUAGUAUUUCUGCCAAGAUCAGAACCAGAACCUGCAGUUACUUCAGAUGCUCUGCCCACAAAGAACCUUUUCAUUUUUUGCUUUAUUGUCUGUCAUUAGGAAAUGAAUUUAAGAAAAAUAAAAGAAAGUUAUUAAGAAUUCAGUUUGAAGUUCUACUUGGAAAUAAUCAUACAUUAUAACACUUCUGAUGGAAUAAUUAUUGACUACAUAUUAAUGUCUUAAGUUAGAUAUGUUAGCAAGAUUUUGACACAAAAUUUUUAAGAGUAUAGAGCUUGCCAUUCCCUAUUGAUUUUCACAGAGUACCCAUAAAGCAGCACUCUAUAACAAAAGAUUUUUCUUGGUUACAGUAAGUUUAACUUCUUGAUUAAAUUUCAGAUGGGUGCACUGCAAUCUCUCUCUCCUGCCUUUUUUGCCGAUAGAUCUCAGAAUCUUUGUGGAAAUGAAACCUUAUUUUAAAAGCUAAACCACCUACUGGGAUUUGUUCUUAAGUAUCUGCCUUCUGCCAGCCAGCAGGUCACACUUCAGACAUGGCUGUGAUCUCAUUAAGCACCACUGCACUGCCUCACUUCAGCCAGGAAAGCACUGAAGGGAUAAACACCAUGGAAAUCUUCCUUAAAAAUCAUGUCAUUUUUAACUAUUGAUGGAUCUUUCAGGAAGUAUCCACCAAUAGUUAAUAUUAAUUGCAAGACCCUGGGAAAUUAGACUCCAAAUGCUAGAGCUGUUGAAGAAUUGGUACCUUAAUCUGGUUGUUGAUGAUGCAAGUAUCUGUACGUGUUUUCU